rnacentral:rRNA from 1 species
UACGUAGGGUGCAAGCGUUGUCCGGAAUUAUUGGGCGUAAAGAGCUCGUAGGCGGUUUGUCGCGUCUGCUGUGAAAACCCGAGGCUCAACCUCGGGCCUGCAGUGGGUGCGGGCAGACUAGAGUGCGGUAGGGGAGAUUGGAAUUCCUGGUGUAGCGGUGGAAUGCGCAGAUAUCAGGAGGAACACCAAUGGCGAAGGCAGAUCUCUGGGCCGUAACUGACGCUGAGGAGCGAAAGCAUGGGAGCGAACAGG